rnacentral:rRNA from 1 species
UAGGGAAUCUUCGGCAAUGGACGAAAGUCUGACCGAGCAACGCCGCGUGAGUGAAGAAGGAUUUCGGAUCGUAAAACUCUGUUGUUAGAGAAGAACAAGGACGUUAGUAACUGAACGUCCCCUGACGGUAUCUAACCAGAAAGCCACGGCUAACUACGUGCCAGCAGCCGCGGUAAUACGAAGGUGGCAAGCGUUGUCCGGAUUUAUUGGGCGUAAAGCGAGCGCAGGCGGUUUCCUAAGUCUGAUGUGAAAGCCCCCGGCUCAACCGGGGAGCGUGAUUGGAAACUGGGAGACUUGAGUGCAGAAGAGGAGAGUGGAAUUCCAUGUGUAGCGUUGAAAUGCGUAGAUAUAUGGAGGAACACCGGUGGCGAAGGCGGCUCUCUGGUCUGUAACUGACGCUGAGGCUCGAAAGCGUGGGGAGCAAACAGG